rnacentral:rRNA from 1 species
UAGGGAAUCUUCCACAAUGGACGCAAGUCUGAUGGAGCAACGCCGCGUGAGUGAAGAAGGUUUUCGGAUCGUAAAGCUCUGUUGUUGGUGAAGAAGGAUAGAGGCAGUAACUGGUCUUUAUUUGACGGUAAUCAACCAGAAAGUCACGGCUAACUACGUGCCAGCAGCCGCGGUAAUACGUAGGUGGCAAGCGUUGUCCGGAUUUAUUGGGCGUAAAGCGAGCGCAGGCGGAAUGAUAAGUCUGAUGUGAAAGCCCACGGCUCAACCGUGGAACUGCAUCGGAAACUGUCAUUCUUGAGUGCAGAAGAGGAGAGUGGAAUUCCAUGUGUAGCGGUGGAAUGCGUAGAUAUAUGGAAGAACACCAGUGGCGAAGGCGGAUCUCUGGUCGGCAACUGACGCUGAGGCUCGAAAGCAUGGGUAGCGAACAGG